GAUGAACGCUGGCGGCGUGCCUAAUACAUGCAAGUCGAGCGAACAGACGAGGAGCUUGCUCCUCUGACGUUAGCGGCGGACGGGUGAGUAACACGUGGAUAACCUACCUAUAAGACUGGGAUAACUUCGGGAAACCGGAGCUAAUACCGGAUAAUAUUUUGAACCGCAUGGUUCAAUAGUGAAAGACGGUUUUGCUGUCACUUAUAGAUGGAUCCGCGCCGCAUUAGCUAGUUGGUAAGGUAACGGCUUACCAAGGCAACGAUGCGUAGCCGACCUGAGAGGGUGAUCGGCCACACUGGAACUGAGACACGGUCCAGACUCCUACGGGAGGCAGCAGUAGGGAAUCUUCCGCAAUGGGCGAAAGCUUGACGGAGCAACGCUGCGUGAGUGAUGAAGGUCUUCGGAUCGUAAAACUCUGUUAUUAGGGAAGAACAAAUGUGUAAGUAACUAUGCACGUCUUGACGGUACCUAAUCAGAAAGCCACGGCUAACUACGUG
rnacentral:rRNA from 1 species